AUUGAAAACUGGUAUGAAUGGUUUUACAGUAUAGAUCUUUUUUUAUUUAAAAAUUUAAUUUAUAUUUUUAGUAAGAAUACUAAAAUGAAAAAAAGGGACGAUAAGACCCUGAAAGCUUUAAGUUAAAAUUAUAUAUAGUUUCAUCAAGUAUUAUAAUACAACUAUUAGCUGGGGAAGUUUUUAUACUAAAACUAUAAUUUGCUUAUACUUUGUUAUAAUGGUCCUUUAAAUAAGGACAACUAGAAAAAGUUACUUCAGGGAUAACAGCAUAAUAAUUUUGUAGAGUUCUUAUUGAUAAAAUUGACUGUGACCUCGAUGUUGAAUUAAAAUUUCUCUUUAAGGCAAAAUGUAAAGUAGAGGGU
rnacentral:rRNA from 1 species